rnacentral:snoRNA from 1 species
ACGAAGCUCAAAAGAUGAAUUUUACAUCGACCAUUAAAUACUUUAGGAAGAGCCGGAAAAGGUAUGGCUAGCAUCGACAUAUGCUACGCCGUCGCUGCUUAUAAC